rnacentral:rRNA from 1 species
AUUGAACGCUGGCGGCAGGCCUAACACAUGCAAGUCGAACGAGUGGCGGACGGGUGAGUAAUGUCUGGGAAACUGCCCGAUGGAGGGGGAUAACUACUGGAAACGGUAGCUAAUACCGCAUACCAUCAGAUGUGCCCAGAUGGGAUUAGCUUGUCGGUGGGGUAACGGCUCACCAGGGCGACGAUCCCUAGCUGGUCUGAGGGGGUGACCAGCCAGACUGGAACUGAGGCAAGGUCCAAAAUCCUACGGGGGGCAAGAGGGGGGGAUAUUGCACAAUUGGCGCAAGCCUGAUGCAGCCAAGCCGGGGGUAUGAAGAAGGCCUUCAGGUUGUAAAGUACUUUCAGCGGGGAAGCGUUACCCGCAGAAGAAGCACCGGCUAACUCCGUGCCAGCCGCCGCGGUAAUAC